CCGUGCUAGGCGGGGAGCCAGCGGUGCCCUAUUCCUGCAAUCCGCUACAGCAGGGCUGAAGGUCCUUCUCGGCUAUACGUAUGGUUGGCCGGACCGAAUAAGGGGUGUUGAUAUUAAGGUCUUGUGCAACGGUUGGUUGCGAACCGUGUCAGGAUAGGGAUAUAGCAGCACUAAACAAUUCGUAUCGUGUGCCAUAAGGUUGCUUUAAAGGAGCCGCCUGUUCGGUUAUCGC
rnacentral:SRP_RNA from 1 species